GACGAACGCUGGCGGCGUGCUUAACACAUGCAAGUCGAACGGAAAGGCCGUGCUUUUGUGGGGUGCUCGAGUGGCGAACGGGUGAGUAACACGUGAGUAACCUGCCCUUGACUUUGGGAUAACUUCAGGAAACUGUGGCUAAUACCGGAUAGGAGCUCCUGCUGCAUGGUGGGGGUUGGAAAGUUUCGGCGGCUGGGGAUGGACUCGCGGCUUAUCAGCUUGUUGGUGGGGUAGUGGCAUACCAAGGCUUUGACGGGUAGCCGGCCUGAGAGGGUGACCGGCCACAUUGGGACUGAGAUACGGCCCAGACUCCUACGGGAGGCAGCAGUGGGGAAUAUUGCACAAUGGGCGGAAGCCUGAUGCAGCAACGCCGCGUGCGGGAUGACGGCCUUCGGGUUGUAAACCGCUUUCGCCUGUGACGAAGCGUGAGUGACGGUAAUGGGUAAAGAAGCACCGGCUAACUACGUG
rnacentral:rRNA from 1 species